ensembl:lncRNA
AGGGCCACAAAAUGAUCUAAGGGAUGGAACUGUUGCUCUACGAGGGCAGCUUGAGAAAACUGAGGACGUUCAGCCUGGAUAAGAAAAGGGGGUCUGUAAGAAAGAAAGGGAUGGACUCCAGCAGGGUCUGUGGUGAUAGUACAAGGGGAAAUAAGAAUUUUGAACUAAAAGAGGAGAGGUUUAGAUUGGAUAUAAGGAAAAAGUUUUAUACCAUAAGGGUGGAGAAGCACUGGCACAGAUUGUCCAGAGAGGUGGUGGAUGCUCCAUCCCUGGAGACAUCCAAGUUCAGGCUGGAUGGGACUCUGAGCAACCUGAUGUAGCUGUAGAUGUCCCUGUUCAUUGCAGGUGAGUUGGACUAGAUGUUCCCUUCUAACUCAAAUGGUUCUAUGAGUGCUGCACUGUCUGUUGAGGGCUUGUGGGAGCAUCCCAUUCAUUACUCUUCUUGGGGAUCCUUAUGAAUGGCCAUAUAGCAAAGGCCAAUAGCAGAAGUUCAAAAAUGUGGUGGAUUUGUAGUUAUUCCUUGCAGAUUGAGGAGAUUUUCUUCUACCCUUAGUACGCAAUGAAUAGAAUGCAGAAGUAGAAUACGAUCUUUUCAGUUACAGAGGUUCAUACUUCAGAUUUCAUGUGUUAAAAAAAAUAGUUAAGAAGUAUUUUUAAAUGGUUUAAAAGUAUUAAAAUUCAACAUAUUUAAAGAAAGCAUUUAGCUCGUACAUCCCUAGGGACUGUAUUGGUUAAGUACUUUAUUUUAAACUAACCCAUUUUAUGGAGACUUUUCUUUUUAAGUUAAUGAAAAAAACAGCAGGAAGAUCCAGAUUCUACUGUUCUGAAAAUACUAAUAUUUAGAAAAAGAAGUUUAUCUGUGAUGCAUUAUUUAUAUAUAUUAUUUAUAUUUUUAUAGUAUUAUUUGUAUUUUAUGAAACCCGGCUGUGACCAAAUCGAAAUUGACUGCUUUGCCAAUAUUAAUUCCCCACUGAUGCGUCUUGCAGUGUAGUCUUUUCCAGGGACAGGUCCAGUUCCUCAGGGAAGUAAAUAACUCAAUGAUUUACUGAUAAAGCCACCCAGUAUAUAUAUCACCCAUGUCUCAUACAUCAAUGUCACAGGCAACAGAUUGCCUUGCUAAGUGGUUCUGUGUUGCUGUUUGGACUUCCUUCUUUUGCUGUUAGUUAAUCCGACAAAACCUAUGUGAUUUUACCCACAUUUAGAUGAAUACAUUUACUUUUGAAAUACAAUUUUAUAAACUUAAUUGCAAUGAUUGUCUGAAUUUAUAGAUCAUUUAUCAUUGAAAAAAUGUUGAUACCAGUCAGUAACUGUGCUGUUGAUUCUCCUCAUGGAUUUUUGGUUCUUUUAGACUGUUAAGGUUUAUGUUCUGAUAUUUCCAAACUCAUGAAGUACUACUGUCAUUUUAAAUGUUUGGAAGAAGGCAAGGAUAAUCUAAAGCUAUCUCUAAAUUGCUAAAUAAAAAAGAGUC